GACGAACGCUGGCGGCGUGCUUAACACAUGCAAGUCGAACGAUGAACCCGGAGCUUGCUCCGGCGGAUUAGUGGCGAACGGGUGAGUAACACGUGAGUAACCUGCCCUUGACUCUGGGAUAACUGCUAGAAAUGGUAGCUAAUACCGGAUACGACCCUCGGUGGCAUCACCAGGGGGUGGAAAGAAUUUCGGUCAAGGAUGGACUCGCGGCCUAUCAGCUAGUUGGUGAGGUAACGGCUCACCAAGGCGACGACGGGUAGCCGGCCUGAGAGGGUGACCGGCCACACUGGGACUGAGACACGGCCCAGACUCCUACGGGAGGCAGCAGUGGGGAAUAUUGCACAAUGGGCGCAAGCCUGAUGCAGCGACGCCGCGUGAGGGAUAACGGCCUUCGGGUUGUAAACCUCUUUCAGCACCGACGAAGCGCAAGUGACGGUAGGUGCAGAAGAAGGACCGGCCAACUACGUGCCAGCCGCCGCGGUAA
rnacentral:rRNA from 1 species